rfam:Trichuris muris Edinburgh genomic scaffold, scaffold81
CAAACGGCCCUUUUCAGGGCCACUAUAUUCUAUGCAACUGACCGAAG